CUCCCUGUACAGUCAGCUGCCUCGUCCCCAGGCGCUAAUAAAAAAUUUCAUGCGAGUCACUAUAUGAAAGGUUUACAUGAAGUAGUGCAUCAUGACGAACAAGCGCAGGGAGUUAUGGGCUUGAGGCAUCGAAAAUUGAGGAGCGCCUGGGAGAUCUUGUGCCGUUUCUUGCAAAAUUCGUCUGUUUCUUGCAAAUCGUGGUUUUUCGACAGUUUGGGGGCUUUUUUCGCCAUUUUUUUUGAGGAAACAACAUUUCAAAUCGUUCAAUUAAACAUGUGAUUACAGUCAGAUGAUAUUUGAUAUCUUUUAACGCUUUGAAUGAUUCCGAGAUGUCAACACUUGAAGAGUUCUACGGGGCCGUAGAAGCCAGUUUAUAUAAUAAAUUUACAAGGUAUGGAAAAAUGACAAUGUAUUUUUAUCACAAUGAGCAAUUUAUUUUAAAAAUAUACAGCUACAAGACGUUUUUUAAACAAGGGAGCGAUGAAACUUUAUUUUGAAUUGUAUUUGCAAGAUUCGUCUCAGGAUUUCAGUUACAAGCUUAUUUACAUGCAGUAUGUUUGAUUUUCACAAUGUAAACGAUCGGCAAUAUUUUGAAUAAUUCAGGUAAGGAUAGCUUUAUUUCUUUCUGGUGAUAUACAUGAAGGGAUUUAUAUUUAGAUCUGUUGUUUACUUGUAUGUUCGACAGCUAUUAUACAAGAUCGGCCAGGCGCUAACCAGAACGCUCAUAUCCCACUGUCCUUUGCGCGCGCCUAUAAUGUGACGCACUACUUCAUGUAAACCUUUCAUAUAGUGAUUCGCAAAUUUUUUAAUUAGCGCCUGGGGACG
rnacentral:lncRNA from 1 species